CGGUAACUUUUACAAAAGGUUGGAUUUCAUUCAACUUUUUACGGUUGUAAUUUUUUGGUUGAAUCGUUAUAAUUUUAUUAAGAGACAUGAUUCUUAUUCUUUAUAUUUUUACAUUUAUUCCAACAUAUUCCAGGGUAUCCAAUACUUUAAGGGCACAUUUACUAAUCUGUAAUCAGAUUGAGAGAAAUUGAAUUGAAAAGGAAUUGAAUUCAGGAGGAAUUGGAAUGAGGUGGAGUCAGAAUCAGAUUACUGUUGAAGUUGUUUACUAAAACUGUCUGGAAUCGGAGUAAGAAUGACAUUGAUCUAUAUAAAUCGUUUACUAAUUCACUUGAAUCGGAAUGAAAACUAAUGUGAUUACUAAAAUAACCCUAGUUUAAUUAAUCUAUUUUCUAUGCUAAUUAUUUUUAAACUUUUAUCUUUCAUUUUUUUUUUUUAGUAUUCCUUCUUAUCAUUCACGCUUUCAAAAACCCUCUAGAAACUCUGCAACUUCAAUUUCCCAAAAACUCUUCUUCUCAUUCUUUCAUUUUUCCAAUUUUUUUGUGACCCUCGGUCUCUCCCUCUCUUCCCCGUCUUUCCCGACCUACCCAUUUCUAAAAUUUCCCCAUCAUUCUCUGCUGCCGACGUACUGCCGACCUACUCCUUUUUAAAAUAUUUUUCUCUGUUGCCGACCCACCCCAUGUUUGCGAAGAACCUUUCAUGCUCCCACCCUCCAUGUCCCAGGCUUAAUUUUUUUUUACCCCAAUUUUGAGUUUCCUAGUUGAGGUAGUGAAUGAGUUUUUAACCAUGGAGUCGGCGUAUCGAAGAGUCGAAAUGAGAAUAUAUCAGAAUAGGGACAUGAAUCGGGUUUGGGAUAAACAACAGCUGACUGAAGGCAAGAAGGAAGAUGGACCUUGAAAGCUCCAAUCCCAAGUCGCGAAACGAAGAGAAAUUGGAGAAGAAGUUGCAAGGAGUCCACUGAGAGAGAAGCAAGAGUGUUGAAGUCGCAGGGCUGUUUUAGGAUAUAAAAAGAAGUACAAGGGCACUUUAGGAAGAAAAGUUUGAUUACUAAUGGACCAUUUCUUCCAGAAUUCAAUUACCACCUAUAUCUUGGUAAUCGGAUUCUGGGCAAAUCCCGAAUUGAAUUCCCCAUUUUGGGUGCACCCCACCUUUGUUUUCAUUCCCUAUAUACAAUAAACACAUGAAUGCAUUUGAAGGAAUGCAAUUCCGAUUCUAGUUACCUCAUUCCCAUUUCAUAAACACGCCAUAAUAGUUGUAGUCGUUUAAUUCUUAGUUAAAAAUAUAAUGAUGUUGUGAACUUUCCUAGUUUAAGUGUAAUUGUGUAAAUUCUAGAUUAGAUUUGAUUCUAGUUAUUCUUUCCUAUAUGGACUUGUAUUCUUUGGGGAUGAAGGAUUUCUUCUCUCCUUUUACUACUAUAAAUAAAGGCACUACGUAGGGGAUAACAAAUCCUCAACACACAAUUCCCCUACGAUUCUACAAACACAUCUCUUCUCUCUCUACCCUUGUCGCCGGCCUUCUCCUUCUUGUCAGAUAAAAUAGGCUACAACAUGUUAUCAUCACGCUCCUACCACUGCGCUUAGGAAUCUGAUUUUGAAGAUUUUCUGCAUCAAACCAGUUUGUCCAUAUCAUCACACAAUCAGGUUCUUCCAAAACAACGGUUUUUAUCUCGAUAUUUUUGCAGCCCUGAUGGCAUGAACAUUUACCAUAAUGCAUUACCUAACUUUAUGUUUUUCGAAUUUUAGAUUCUACAUAAAUUGUGUAUGCCUUAUAUUCAUAAUUGUUGAAUUAUGUGAAUUUGAUAUUGCCAUGAAUUGCAUCUAUAUAUGUACAUGCAUUAUAAUAUUUGAAUUGAAUUGAAAAAGAAAAAAAAAACAAAAGAAAUCGGAAAAGGCAACCUGGGUUCUUCGAACCCAUGACCUCGAGCCAUUCAACCAAGUAUGCAGCUUGGAUGGCCGAGCCGUGCCAAGCCGCGAGUUCCCCAGUCGGAGCCGAUGGCUCAAGGACUAAAACCCAGUAACCCCGACGCCUUUCACGGUGUAUUCUUCUGUUGCAGGUUGGCUUGUAGCCAACCCCACCCACGGGUCAUCAUGUUUUUUAUGACCUGAAGUUCGUCCUCGACACCAAUUGAUCGAUAUUCCUUCGAAUCUCGUGGGAAUUUUUCUAAUUUUCCGAUUUGUUUUCUAGGGUUUUGAUAGAACGUUGAGAUUUCUCAAUCUCCGUUCUUAUUUAUGGUUUCCAUUGACCCAUGAACUCGCCCCGAGCAUUGUUGUCCCAAAGCACGGCUG
rnacentral:lncRNA from 1 species